CCUACGGGUGGCAGCAGUGGGGAAUAUUGGACAAUGGGCGAAAGCCUGAUCCAGCCAUGCCGCGUGUGUGAAGAAGGCCUUCGGGUUGUAAAGCACUUUCAGUGGGGAAGAAAGCCUUGGGGCUAAUACCCUCGAGGAAGGACAUCACCCACAGAAGAAGCACCGGCUAACUCCGUGCCAGCAGCCGCGGUAAUACGGAGGGUGCGAGCGUUAAUCGGAAUUACUGGGCGUAAAGCGCGCGUAGGCGGUCUGAUAAGCCGGUUGUGAAAGCCCCGGGCUCAACCUGGGAACGGCAUCCGGAACUGUCAGGCUAGAGUGCAGGAGAGGAAGGUAGAAUUCCCGGUGUAGCGGUGAAAUGCGUAGAGAUCGGGAGGAAUACCAGUGGCGAAGGCGGCCUUCUGGACUGACACUGACGCUGAGGUGCAAAAGCGUGGGUAGCAAACAGGAUUAGAUACCCUUGUAGUC
rnacentral:rRNA from 1 species